UGGUCCUUCGUCCAACGGCAGGACACGAGGCUUUGAACCUCGGUAUGCGGGUCCGAAUCCCGCGGGGCCAA
rnacentral:tRNA from 1 species